AAUCCAUGUUGAGGACAUUUUCACAUGAGCUCCUUGAACCUUUCCCAUAUCUCAAAUAGAGACCCCAGUUCCAUUUGCAUGAAGGAGGAUAUUUCAUUCCUAAGCUU